AAAAGACAAAAAAAAAAUUUGCCCAUUUUCUUCUUCUUUUUUGCGACUCUCUCUCUCGACGGAACAGGCGGUUCUCUCUACACUUGAAUCGAUUGAUUUUUGACACCAAUUUUAUACUGUCCCCUCUUUGAAUUGUUUCGUCGUCUUCAGCUCUUCAUCGGCCGUUGUACUUUCCAGUGACAAGAAAGAGAGAGAGAGUUCGGAGAGACAGAUCCUCAUCGUCUUGGUUCUUGUUUCUUCCUCGAUCUGUCGAUCUUCUCCUCCGAUUUAAGGUUGAUAUCGCUGUGGGUGGAUGGCAUUCGACAGCAUUAACCAAUGAAGGAGAGGUAUUAGACACUCGUAUCUAAAGCUUUGUUAUUUCAUUGAUGAUUUUGUCACAAACACUUGGUGUGCAUAGGCGAAAGGUUUGAAAACUAUGAAAGUUUUGUCUUUUUUUUUUUUACUUUAUAACAUGUUCCAAACUGUUAUAAUACGUUGAUAGAGCCAUUUUUGGAUUGUUUAUGGAGACAUAACAUACUUUGAAGUCUCAGAGUGACCAUAAUGUACUACCAUUGGAAGAAUCAUUUGAAUUGUAUAGGGCUAGUGAUAGCUGAAAGACAUUGAAGGAGCUUGAGAAAGCGAUUAUAGUUUAUUGGGAUGCCAAAGAUAAUGUGGACUAUAAGGUAACACUGUUUCUCUAUUUCCAUUCUGAAUCACUAAUGUCUGUAUUUCUGAACUAACACAACCUCCAUUCUACUGAACUUAGCAAACCUUUCUUAACACAAAACUCUUUGAAGUCAAAAAGCUAAGAUUUUUGUAGAGUGUGUGACAUGAGUCGAGAGUAGAAGAAAUUUGUUGAAUUUCAGGUGCAGAAAAGGCUUAGCCAAGUGGAAAUGAAGAACUAGGAGGCGGCGUAUCAGGCGUGGUUGGGUUACUACAAAUCUCAGAAGAUGAUUGCAAGAGACACUACCAGACUGGUGGAUUCAGCCGCAGCAUGGGACUUGACAACCCACCAGCUAUCGUAAAAAAUGUUCUUGGCAAGAUGGGUCUCAAAAACGUUCCUGGUCUUAGAACCAAGUAGAUUUUUUAAGCUAGUGAUUUGCUUUUGUCUGAAAACUUUAAUGCUUUGUAAGUGUAAUCUCUUGUCAUUCUUGCUACACUUUAGACUUUCUAACUAAAACAUCCGAUAAAAGUUACCUUCUUAUGAAAAUCUUUUGCUUGUAA